CCUUUAUAUUGGCUGUUAGUAUACUUACACAUGCAAAUAUCCGUAGUCCAGUGAGUCAUGCCCAAGAUUUCCAUAUUCAAAGAAAUAAAGGAGCAGGGAUCAAGUACACUAAUUUAUUAGUAGCUAAAGACACCGCGUCUAACCACACCCCCACGGGAUACAGCAGUGAUAAAAAUUAAGCAAUGAACGAAAGUUUGACUAAGUAAUACUGAAUAGGGUUGGUAAAUUUCGUGCCAGCCACCGCGGUCAUACGAAUAACCCUAGUUAAUAUACUACGGCGUAAAGAGUGCUAAAACUAUCUACCUAAAUAGGAUUAAAGCCUAAUUUAGCUGUAAAAAGCAUAAAUUAAAGCGAAAACCAGUAACGAAAGUAAUCUUAUUAAGUUGCAGCACUAAAGCUAUAAAACAAACUGGGAUUAGAUACCCCACUAUGUGUAGCCAUAAACAUAAAUAAGUUUAUAACAAAGUUAUUCGCCUGAGAACUACAAGCAAUCGCUAGAAACUCAAAGGACUUGGCGGUGCUUUAUAUCCAUCUAGAGGAGCCUGUUCCAUAAUCGAUAAACCCCGAUCCACCUUACCACUUCUUGCCAAUUCAGCCUAUAUACCGCCAUCCUCAGCUAACCCUAAAAAGGAUUACUAGUAAGCACAAUCAUUAUAAAUUAAUAAAAAAGUUAGGUCAAGGUGUAGCCAAUGGAGUGGAGAGUAAUGGGCUACAUUUUCUGUGAACAGAAUAUCACGGAGUUCCCUCUGAAACACAGGGAAUGAAGGAGGAUUUAGUAGUAAAUUGAAAAUAGAGUGUUCAAUUGAAUAGAGCAAUGAAGCACGUACACACCGCCCGUCACCCUC
rnacentral:ncRNA from 1 species